rnacentral:rRNA from 1 species
GGUUAAGCGACUAAGCGUACACGGUGGAUGCCCUGGCAGUCAGAGGCGAUGAAGGACGUGCUAAUCUGCGAUAAGCGUCGGUGAGGUGAUAUGAACCGUUAUAACCGGCGAUUUCCGAAUGGGGAAACCCAGUGUGUUUCGACACACUAUCAUUAACUGAAUCCAUAGGUUAAUGAGGCGAACCGGGGGAACUGAAACAUCUAAGUACCCCGAGGAAAAGAAAUCAACCGAGAUUCCCCCAGUAGCGGCGAGCGAACGGGGAGGAGCCCAGAGCCUGAAUCAGUGUGUGUGUUAGUGGAAGCGUCUGGAAAGGCGCGCGAUACAGGGUGACAGCCCCGUACACAAAAAUGCACAUGCUGUGAGCUCGAUGAGUAGGGCGGGACACGUGGUAUCCUGUCUGAAUAUGGGGGGACCAUCCUCCAAGGCUAAAUACUCCUGACUGACCGAUAGUGAACCAGUACCGUGAGGGAAAGGCGAAAAGAACCCCGGCGAGGGGAGUGAAAAAGAACCUGAAACCGUGUACGUACAAGCAGUGGGAGCCUCUUAAUGGGGUGACUGCGUACCUUUUGUAUAAUGGGUCAGCGACUUAUAUUCUGUAGCAAGGUUAACCGAAUAGGGGAGCCGAAGGGAAACCGAGUCUUAACUGGGCGUUAAGUUGCAGGGUAUAGACCCGAAACCCGGUGAUCUAGCCAUGGGCAGGUUGAAGGUUGGGUAACACUAACUGGAGGACCGAACCGACUAAUGUUGAAAAAUUAGCGGAUGACUUGUGGCUGGGGGUGAAAGGCCAAUCAAACCGGGAGAUAGCUGGUUCUCCCCGAAAGCUAUUUAGGUAGCGCCUCGUGAAUUCAUCUCCGGGGGUAGAGCACUGUUUCGGCAAGGGGGUCAUCCCGACUUACCAACCCGAUGCAAACUGCGAAUACCGGAGAAUGUUAUCACGGGAGACACACGGCGGGUGCUAACGUCCGUCGUGAAGAGGGAAACAACCCAGACCGCCAGCUAAGGUCCCAAAGUCAUGGUUAAGUGGGAAACGAUGUGGGAAGGCCCAGACAGCCAGGAUGUUGGCUUAGAAGCAGCCAUCAUUUAAAGAAAGCGUAAUAGCUCACUGGUCGAGUCGGCCUGCGCGGAAGAUGUAACGGGGCUAAACCAUGCACCGAAGCUGCGGCAGCGACACUAUGUGUUGUUGGGUAGGGGAGCGUUCUGUAAGCCUGUGAAGGUGGCCUGUGAGGGUUGCUGGAGGUAUCAGAAGUGCGAAUGCUGACAUAAGUAACGAUAAAGCGGGUGAAAAGCCCGCUCGCCGGAAGACCAAGGGUUCCUGUCCAACGUUAAUCGGGGCAGGGUGAGUCGACCCCUAAGGCGAGGCCGAAAGGCGUAGUCGAUGGGAAACAGGUUAAUAUUCCUGUACUUGGUGUUACUGCGAAGGGGGGACGGAGAAGGCUAUGUUGGCCGGGCGACGGUUGUCCCGGUUUAAGCGUGUAGGCUGGUUUUCCAGGCAAAUCCGGAAAACCAAGGCUGAGGCGUGAUGACGAGGCACUACGGUGCUGAAGCGACAAAUGCCCUGCUUCCAGGAAAAGCCUCUAAGCAUCAGGUAACAUCAAAUCGUACCCCAAACCGACACAGGUGGUCAGGUAGAGAAUACCAAGGCGCUUGAGAGAACUCGGGUGAAGGAACUAGGCAAAAUGGUGCCGUAACUUCGGGAGAAGGCACGCUGAUAUGUAGGUGAAGCGACUUGCUCGUGGAGCUGAAAUCAGUCGAAGAUACCAGCUGGCUGCAACUGUUUAUUAAAAACACAGCACUGUGCAAACACGAAAGUGGACGUAUACGGUGUGACGCCUGCCCGGUGCCGGAAGGUUAAUUGAUGGGGUUAGCGGCAACGCGAAGCUCUUGAUCGAAGCCCCGGUAAACGGCGGCCGUAACUAUAACGGUCCUAAGGUAGCGAAAUUCCUUGUCGGGUAAGUUCCGACCUGCACGAAUGGCGUAAUGAUGGCCAGGCUGUCUCCACCCGAGACUCAGUGAAAUUGAACUCGCUGUGAAGAUGCAGUGUACCCGCGGCAAGACGGAAAGACCCCGUGAACCUUUACUAUAGCUUGACACUGAACAUUGAGCCUUGAUGUGUAGGAUAGGUGGGAGGCUUUGAAGUGUGGACGCCAGUCUGCAUGGAGCCGACCUUGAAAUACCACCCUUUAAUGUUUGAUGUUCUAACGUUGGCCCGUAAUCCGGGUUGCGGACAGUGUCUGGUGGGUAGUUUGACUGGGGCGGUCUCCUCCUAAAGAGUAACGGAGGAGCACGAAGGUUGGCUAAUCCUGGUCGGACAUCAGGAGGUUAGUGCAAUGGCAUAAGCCAGCUUGACUGCGAGCGUGACGGCGCGAGCAGGUGCGAAAGCAGGUCAUAGUGAUCCGGUGGUUCUGAAUGGAAGGGCCAUCGCUCAACGGAUAAAAGGUACUCCGGGGAUAACAGGCUGAUACCGCCCAAGAGUUCAUAUCGACGGCGGUGUUUGGCACCUCGAUGUCGGCUCAUCACAUCCUGGGGCUGAAGUAGGUCCCAAGGGUAUGGCUGUUCGCCAUUUAAAGUGGUACGCGAGCUGGGUUUAGAACGUCGUGAGACAGUUCGGUCCCUAUCUGCCGUGGGCGCUGGAGAACUGAGGGGGGCUGCUCCUAGUACGAGAGGACCGGAGUGGACGCAUCACUGGUGUUCGGGUUGUCAUGCCAAUGGCACUGCCCGGUAGCUAAAUGCGGAAGAGAUAAGUGCUGAAAGCAUCUAAGCACGAAACUUGCCCCGAGAUGAGUUCUCCCUGAGACUUAGAGUCUCCUGAAGGAACGUUGAAGACGACGACGUUGAUAGGCCGGGUGUGUAAGCGCAGCGAUGCGUUGAGCUAACCGGUACUAAUGAAC